AAUGCUCAUAACAAUUGCACUUUUAUUUAAUGAUCCGUUUUUGUUUUCAAUAAUUUUUUAAAGGAAGCGAAAACAGCGCAAUCAAAAUCGUAGGAUUCAGAACAGGAGAUAGAAGAUAAUAUUAGCCCUGUACAAACAGGUCAUGGAGAGACUACAGGCAGUGUAUUUAGAUUUAUCGCAUUUGACUUGCCUUGGCUUGUGACAUUGAAAAAUAGCUUCUCAGAGCAUUUGAGAACAUUUUAAGCGUUGAGCUUUCUGUUAAGGUUGUAUAAUGUUUGUAUGAUAGUUAACAGACAUCUUAUGCUGAUUUUCCAGAGUACUCCUCAGAUGUCCCCGGUUCCACAGAGGAUGUUGUGGGUUAAGAGGGAGACACCAACCCCUUCAAGACCUGUUGAGUUCCCUAAAGUCACAUCAGGUCUACAAGAUGGCUGGCUCACUGUCUGAGAGAAUCAGGGGUCUACAAGAUGGCCGACUCACUGAGAGAAUCAGGGGUCUACAAGAUGGCCGACUCACUGUCUGAGAGUGACAGACCGACAACAACAACUGCUCUAUUGCCUCUGCUCUCCCACAGAAGGCAAUCCGGAAUGACCAGGGAGGAGCUCUAUGGUGAUCUGCAGAACCUGAAGGAAUCAGCCUGUGAAUGACCAGGGAGGAGCUCUAUGGUGAUCUGCAGAACCUGAAGGAAUCAGCCUGUGAAUGACCAGGGAGGAGCUCUAUGGUGAUCUGCAGGACCUGAAGGAAUCAGCCUGUGAAUGACCAGGGAGGAGCUCUAUGGUGAUCUGCAGAACCUGAAGGAAUCAGCCUGUGAAUGACCAGGGAGGAGCUCUAUGGUGAUCUGCGGGACCUGAAGGAAUCAGCCUGUGAAUGACCAGGGAGGAGCUCUAUGGUGAUCUGCGGGACCUGAAGGAAUCAGCCUGUGAAUGACCAGGGAGGAGCUCUAUGGUGAUCUGCGGGACCUGAAGGAAUCAGCCUGUGAAUGACCAGGGAGGAGCUCUAUGGUGAUCUGCAGGACCUGAAGGAAUCAGCUUGUGACCUGACAGAGAUGGAGCCAACCAACUCAUUGUUCAGUGUGGUGUUCAGUACCCC
rnacentral:lncRNA from 8 species